rnacentral:rRNA from 1 species
GAUGAACGCUGACAGAAUGCUUAACACAUGCAAGUCUUUGGCGAAGCUGUGCUUGCACAGCCUAGCCAAGGCGGACGGGUGAGUAACGCGUAAGGAACUUGCCCUGCAGUCAGGGAUAACAGACGGAAACGACUGAUAAGACCUGGUAAAGUCAGGCGGACUCAUGUCCAGCCUGAUGAAAAGAGAUGCUGCAGGAAAGCCUUGCGUCCUAUUAGCUUGUUGGUGGGGUAACGGCCCACCAAGGCGAUGAUAGGUAGCCAGCCUGAGAGGGUGGACGGCCACAAGGGGACUGAGAUACGGCCCUUACUCCUACGGGAGGCAGCAGUGGGGAAUAUUGGACAAUGGGGGCAACCCUGAUCCAGCAAUUCUGUGUGCACGAUGAAGGUUUUCGGAUUGUAAAGUGCUUUCAGCAGGGAAGAAAAAAAUGACGGUACCUGCAGAAGAAGCGACGGCUAAAUACGUG